AGAAUUAAUUGUUUUAUAAAAAUUGAUCGAGACGAGAAAAAAAAUUCUUUCGUGAAUCGAGAUUUUUAUCCACGAAUACUUUUUUCCCCUAGAAUAGGGGAGAAGCUUCUUUAUAUUUCAAUAAAGGAAAUUAUUAACGCGUUCCCGUUUGCACAAGUCUUUUUCACUCUGCUGGACACGUGCGUCGUAACAAGACGAUUUUUUUUAAAAUUACGUCAGCAAGAAUUACGUUAAAAUUAGAAAGAAAGAAAAAAAUUUGUGAAAUUUCCUCGAACGAAUAUCACGCUUCCGCUUUUUCAGACAGGUGCGUGCGCAUGCGCCUGUGAAAGGUUUCCCUCGAAAACGACGGUUAACGAAGGUGGCGUUCGCUAUUCAUACUCCUCCUUUCUUGAAACGUUCACUUUUGUCUCGCUUUUUCUGGAAGGGAGAUGGGUGAUAGAAGAACCAUCUUGCGAAGUGGAUUUAUAACGCGAUGAUAACUAGGACACCGAAAAAAGAGAUAAAAAUAACUCGCCAAUCGAUUAAUUAAUUAUUCUCUAAUAAUAAUGGCCGCAAGUUGACGCGUCGAGCUGUACUUAUUACUCCCUUCAUGUGGAACGUAGAUGUUUAUAAUUAUUCUUGCACGCUUCUUACUAAAAGAUAUUUCAAUAUUUUUUUUUUAAUUGAAAUUAAUGGAAUACAAUUAAUGGCGAGGUAUAUAAAUCAUAUAAAUCAUAUAAUGAGCAACGUAAUGGGAAAUAUAAAUAUUUUUUAAUUAAGAGACUAUGCCCACCAUUUUAAACCCGCUUGCUUUGAAGCAAGUUUAAAUGAGAAACGGAAAAAAAAAAAAAAAAAAAAAAAGAAUCUCGAGAAAUAUCGCGACAAUGUGUGAAACGAAUAAAAUCUUAACCUAAUCAUCCUCCUAUUCAUUCGUAAGAAACGCGUCCUUCCUCUUAUUGACAUCAACAACAUUUAUACUUGUGUUGAAAAAUUGUUUGAGAAACUUGCAUUCAUUCUUUCUACGAAUAUUUUUCCAUCGAGUGAAAUUUUAUUUUGAAACAAUAACAUCAGAUAUACAUUAUUUUCUUUCAAUAAACAACACGUAUAUAUAUCUUCUUUUCCUAACCUCAAAAUCGUAAAUAUUACGACAAGUGGGGAAAAACUUAAUUUGAUCUACUGAAAAUAGAAUUAUAAUAAUAAUAAUAAUAAUAAAAAAGUAGGAUUCAAUAAUGAAAAUUGAUGAAUCAAAUCUCUUUUCAUUUUUAAUUUCCGUUUCUAUUUCGUAUACGUAUCACCGUUUACCGUUUCAAAUCUUAAGGUUAGGGGAAAAAAACAAAAAUGGCUGGUGACCUGGAUAAUUUAAUUGAUUAAAUUCAAUCAGUGGGCAAACGAAACUUUGAAUUCAAAUUCUAAUCCAAUCGAUUGGUUCUAUCUUUCUCCUCUCCUUCUUUUCAUUUUUCUUUGACGAACACUUAUACACUACAUCUCUAUAGAAUAAAUUUACCGUAUAUUUAGAUUCGACUGGCCGAGCGUGAUGAACGUAAAAAUUAAUGAUAAAGUGUGAAUAGUGAAAA
rnacentral:lncRNA from 1 species